AGCAGCCGCGGUAAUUCCAGCUCCAAUAGCGUAUAUUAAAGUUGUUGCAGUUAAAAAGCUCGUAGUUGAAUUUCGGGAUUGGCGCAUCGGUCGUGCCUCACGGGGUAUGAACUGGUGCAGUCAAUUUCUCACCUUCUGGAGAACCGCGAUGUCCUUAAUUGGGUGCCGCGGGGAACCAGGGCCUUUACUUUGAAAAAAUUAGAGUGUUUAAAGCAGGCAUUUUUGCUUGAAUACAUUAGCAUGGAAUAAUAAAAUAGGACGGCAUGGUUCUAUUUUGUUGGUUUCUAGGACCACCGUAAUGAUUAAUAGGGAUAGUUGGGGGCAUUAGUAUUCAAUUGUCAGAGGUGAAAUUCUUGGAUUUAUUGAAGACUAACUACUGCGAAAGCAUUUGCCAAGGAUGUUUUCAUUAAUCAAGAACGAAAGUUAGGGGAUCGAAGACGAUCAGAUACCGUCGUAGUCUUAACCAUAAACUAUGCCGACUAGGAAUCAGACGAUGUUAAUUUUUAAUGUACUUCGUUUG
rnacentral:rRNA from 1 species